CUCAGGAACAGAACCAUGUCCUGAUCAGAUCUGUGGUUCAGCGUCGUCCCCUUUCCCGAGGAGCCUCCCUGUGGAGGGGCCGGUACUAAAUUGACCUAUCCUGAGAUUUGGUGCUUUGAGGUUGUGAGGUCCCAGAAGCGAAGAGGCUGAUGGAGCCCUAGACCUGGGAGCUGACAGCUGAAGCAGAGGUUCUUCAUAGUCUAAAGCCCUUUCUCUCCAGUUCUCAUCUCUGUGGCCAUGCAUGGCUCAGGGUUCCCGGAUAAAGCCUGACUUACUCCAGUUAAGGUGAGAUAUCUUUUAUUUUAGCAAAAUGAAGAACACCAAGAUUUCUGACCCAAACGAUCUUGACUGAAAGGGGUGUGUUGUAAGUUUGCACUUUUCUGGCAGAGAAGACAGAUUCUAAGUAGAUGCUGAUUUACUUACCCAGGUAGCUCCUGGAGUCCCAUUGAGCUUACCAACUACUGUCUUGCUAGGUAGUUUCUAACAUGACCAAUGGCACUAACUUAGGAGAACAACAGGCUUCCUUCAUGGCUUCAGAGGUAAAGUAGUAUUUCUUAAGCAAGAAGCAAAGGUAUACAUUUUAUGGAAACUGGGGACUGUGGUCCAUCCUGAGAUCCCAAAUUCUCACUACUCCCUCUGUCCUUUAGCUUUGCAAGACUGAUUUUAUGCUCCAUCCAUUCAUUGCUUAUAAUAAACCCAACUAAGAAGAGGAGCCUUAGGCUCAAAAGGGUGAAGUGGCCCAUCUCCCAAGGUCACAGACCCACAGGGCAGAGAUGGGACUUGAACCCAGGACCCUUUGUGCUCACCUUCACCACCUUAAGCACCUUGACUUCUUGGUCCAGAAGUAGCUCA